rnacentral:rRNA from 1 species
CAGUCGCCGCGGGAAUACGUAGGUGGCGAGCGUUGUCCGGAUUUAUUGGGCGUAAAGGGAGUGUAGGCGGUCUUUUAAGUCUGAUGUGAAAGCCCACGGCUCAACCGUGGAGGGUCAUUGGAAACUGGGAGACUUGAGUGCAGAAGAGGAGAGCGGAAUUCCAUGUGUAGCGGUGAAAUGCGUAGAUAUAUGGAGGAACACCAGUGGCGAAGGCGGCUCUCUGGUCUGUAACUGACGCUGAGGCUCGAAAGCGUGGGGAGCAAACAGGAUUAGAUACCCGCGUAGUCCCUGUCUCUUAUCC